rnacentral:sRNA from 1 species
CAACCAGGCAGGAGCGGGGGAACCACAUACCGGGUCCGGUACGCCGGUCCCUUGGGGUGAAGCUCGGUUCCCGACCGAGCCGGGUUAUCCGACCCGAAUCCGACAGCUAACCCCGCAGGCAACAGGAGAGAG